AAGAUGAUGCUCCAAAACAGCCAAGAGCUCCCUACCGUUGCUUACCUCUUCCAACACUCCACCACCAAGCCUUCUAGCGGCUUCGACCAGCUGUCCCCUCAGCUUUUGUGAAAACAAGUAUCCAUUCACCUUUAUACAUUCCCUAUACAGCGGUAAAUAAGCUAUUGCAACCCUCAGGGGUGCUGGAAUAUCCCUCAAAGAGAUUGGAGAUCCACCCCACCUCAAAAUCCGUACAAAGUUCAAGUAAUUUUCUUGACCUUGUCUCAACCCAUCAAUGUAAGCCGCUUCCGACCAGUGCUCCCGAAGAAAUGCCCUAAGCUCCGGAGCAACAGACUCAUCGCUCGACUUGGAGAUACUGUCUGCAACAGCAUAUGUUGCAGAAGGAUCACCAAGAAAGUUGG
rnacentral:misc_RNA from 1 species